UAAGGAAUAUUGGUCAAUGGAGGCAACUCUGAACCAGCCAUGCCGCGUGCAGGAAGAAGGCCCUAUGGGUCGUAAACUGCUUUUUGAACAAGAGAAAACCCCGGUACGUGUACUGGGUUGAUAGUAUUGUUAGAAUAAGCAUCGGCUAACUUCGUGCCAGCAGCCGCGGUAAGACGAAGGAUGCAAGCGUUAUCCGGAUUCAUUGGGUUUAAAGGGUGCGUAGGCGGACUGAUAAGUCAGUGGUGAAAUCUCUCGGCUUAACCGAGAAACUGCCAUUGAUACUGUUAGUCUAGAGUACAGAUGAUGUGGGCGGAAUAUGACAUGUAGUGGUGAAAUACUUAGAUAUGUCAUAGAACACCGAUUGCGAAGGCAGCUCACAAAACUGUAACUGACGCUGAGGCACGAAAGUGCGGGGAUCAAACAGGAUUAGAUACCCGCGUAGUCCCUGAGCGGGCUGGCAAGGCGCAU
rnacentral:rRNA from 1 species